rnacentral:rRNA from 1 species
GACGAACGCUGGCGGCGUGCUUAACACAUGCAAGUCGAACGGAAAGGCCCUGCUUUUGUGGGGUGCUCGAGUGGCGAACGGGUGAGUAACACGUGAGUAACCUGCCCUUGACUUUGGGAUAACUUCAGGAAACUGGGGCUAAUACCGGAUAGGAGCUCCUGCUGCAUGGUGGGGGUUGGAAAGUUUCGGCGGUUGGGGAUGGACUCGCGGCUUAUCAGCUUGUUGGUGGGGUAGUGGCUUACCAAGGCUUUGACGGGUAGCCGGCCUGAGAGGGUGGCCGGCCACAUUGGGACUGAGAUACGACCCAGACUCCUACGGGAGGCAGCAGUGGGGAAUAUUGCACAAUGGGCGGAAGCCUGAUGCAGCAACGCCGCGUGCGGGAUGACGGCCUUCGGGUUGUAAACCGCUUUCGCCUGUGACGAAGCGUGAGUGACGGUAAUGGGUAAAGAAGCACCGGCUAACUACGUG